UAAUCCAAGUGGAAAGGGGAUCUCCUGAUCAUCUUUUCAUGGCGUGCCGCACGUUGUUGCAGCCUCUGCUCCGUUCAUCUAAUUAACCAUGAAGGAGAACGGUAGAGUCAGCCAGGGUUUGCGUCCAGUUUCUAGACAAGUCGUGGUUGAGCUAUUAAGAGUUUUAAUUUCACAAACAUGAUCUCUGUACAGAUAUUACCUCUAUUGUUCCCAAGAAUGUGAGAAUAUCCAAACCCAAAUUCAUAUUUGAUACCAAAUGAUUUCCAAAAGGAAUUUUGAAAAGAUUUCUCCAAACAGUUUUAGUGUUUUUAGUUCUUAAUCACUCUACCACUUAAAUCCUACGAGUGUUGUUUUUCUCACGAUCAGUUCCCCGUUUUUACCCAGAAAGACAGAAAGAAAGAAAGAAAUGGCUGUAACUGGAUAUUUUGUGUUUUUCGCAGCUGUGUAUCUCGUUUCAGGCCAUUACCAAUGGCUCUGCUGAAAGGUGAAAGGCCCACUGUCACCAUAACUCCAUCCAGCAUCAAAGAUGAUUCUCUCUAUGCAAUUUCGUUCUUUCUGUUUGCAUUUUUGCAGGAGACAUGAACAUUAGUUAACUCUCUCUCUCUGUUUUUUUUCUUUCUAUUUCAGAAAAUUAUAAAUGCAUGCACCCAGAUCUUUUGUUUUUUUUUUUUUUUAAUUUGCAGCAACUUGAAUACUUAUAUGAUUGCCAAUUGUCAUUUACUUGUCUGUCUAUGGUUAUCAAAUGCCAGUCACUCCUUGAAC
rnacentral:lncRNA from 1 species